AUUGAACGCUGGCGGCAGGCCUAACACAUGCAAGUCGAACGAGUGGCGGACGGGUGAGUAAUGUCUGGGAAUCUGCCUGAUGGAGGGGGAUAACUACUGGAAACGGUCGCUAAUACCGCAUACCAUCAGAUGUGCCCAGUUGGGAUUAGCUUGUUGGUGGGGUAAAGGCCCACCAAGGCGACGAUCCCUAGCUGGUCUGAGAGGAUGACCAGCCAAACUGGAACUGAGACACGGUCCAGAUUCCUACGGGAGGCAGCAGUGGGGAAUAUUGCACAAUGGGCGCAAGCCUGAUGCAGCCAUGCCGCGUGUAUGAAGAAGGCCUUCGGGUUGUAAAGUACUUUCAGCGGGGAGGCGUUACCCGCAGAAGAAGCACCGGCUAACUCCGUGCCAGCAGCCGCGGUAAUAC
rnacentral:rRNA from 1 species